rnacentral:rRNA from 1 species
GUAGGUGGCAAGCGUUGUCCGGAAUUAUUGGGCGUAAAGCGCGCGCAGGCGGUUCUUUAAGUCUGAUGUGAAAGCCCACGGCUCAACCGUGGAGGGUCAUUGGAAACUGGAGAACUUGAGUACAGAAGAGGAAAGCGGAAUUCCACGUGUAGCGGUGAAAUGCGUAGAGAUGUGGAGGAACACCAGUGGCGAAGGCGGCUUUCUGGUCUGUAACUGACGCUGAUGCGCGAAAGCGUGGGGAGCAAACAGGGAUUAGAUACCCUGGUAGUCCACGCCGUAAACGAUGAGUGCUAAGUGUUAGGGGGUUUCCGCCCCCUUAGUGCUGCAGCUAACGCAUUAAGCACUCCGCCUGGGGAGUACGGCCGCAAGGCUG